rnacentral:lncRNA from 1 species
UCCCCUUCUACGGUUUCAGCCUCAAUCAUGCAUAACAAGCAGUAACUUGUUAUGGGGGAAAAGCCUUUGGGUAAGUUACCUUCUGCCUUCUGGGUCAGCUCAUACUCAUCAUCUGGACAGUCAGCGGCCUAGAAGGGUGAGAGCUUCUUAUAAAUGCUUUAUAUCUGUUAUCAAUUGAUUGAUGGUAGGAUGUGAAUUUAAGAAUAAAACAGACCUUACCUUAUGAAAUUAGCUCAAGUUAUAAUUACAAAUUUUAGUUGAAGUAAAUUUAUAUUUCAACAGGAAGAGUAAGAAUAUAUUUAUAAUAUAUAUAAAACAGAAUUAGCUAUUCUUGAAACCAUCAGCUGCUAUAGUUUGAGACAAAGCAGAAGCACUUUAAACCUUCUUAAUUAUGUUGCUUGAAUCUUGAUAAUCUCUGGCUUCUUUCUUUUUCCAAAUAUGUAGAAAGAACCUCUCCAACACCAUUUAAUUCGAGCCUCAAAUUUUCAAUAAUGAGAAGUAAUGACUCAAUGCAGGAAAUUCUGCUUCACACUCGAGCUUUCAUACUCAAUCCAAUGCUUCCAGCAUGGUGCGAACUUUUUCUUUGUAGUUAGCACAUGCCUCUGAACAGUUCAUAUAUUAACAAAAUUAAAAAAUAUAUAUAUCGAGAGUGAUAAAUCAAGCAAUCUGCAAAGGUGAUGAAAAUAAAUCUUAUAAUUUGUGUUAGAUUUGGGGUUUUGCAGGACCUUAUAACAUUAGAGAGAGUACCACUUAUACCUUGAAUACUACACUUUCACCAGAAUUUACAGUUUAAAGGGCUAACUUUUCUUGAUGUAGGGAAGUGUUUCAAGUUUCAUUUCCAACACCUCAUACGCCCUAUGGACCCAAGCUAAUGCUUCCAGCAUGUUGGGAGUUUCUUUUUUGUUGCCCAUGGCUCCAACUAGUGUUAGAAUAUGAACAAUCACAAAAGAAAUGAUAUUUUUUUUAUGGAAAGGUCCAGGACAGAAGAACCUUAAGAAAAAGAACUUUGAAUACUCCAUUGUCGCCAUCACUUUAUAACAACAAUUACUAAUUUGAUUUGAUACAAUGAAAUCUUUCACAUACAGGAACUUGUGAGUUGCUUCCAAGCUCUAGAACAAAACAUCUUUGACUCUGGAUCAAAUGCUUCCAGCUCAAUUGCAACUGUACAUUGGCUUUCAUGCUGUGCACUUCCAAGUUGUAGAACCAACACCUUUGGCUCCUGACCAAAUGCUUCAAGCUCAAUAACAACUGCUGAAUUGCUUUUACAUUGUGCAAUCCAGAGUGUGAGUUCUAUAUCCAAUCUUUCCACAUCAGUCAGAGUUUCUGUCUUCAAGUCUUCAUUAACAGUAAGUACAUUCCAAGUUUCUGUUUUCACCUAGAUCAUUGAUAUUAAGGUGACCUGAUGCUGGAGUAUACUUUCAGGUCGAACAUGAUUAUCAAGCAAACUGACACCUUCCCCUCCAUGAAUGGCUUAGGGUAAUGAUAUGCAUUUGCUCAAUUAGUACUAAAUAGAGGAUAUGUUUUGCUGCUUUUGUUUUUUAAUGGAAAAACUUUCCCAAUACAAACUACAAAAAGAAAUGGUGGCAUUCACACCCUUCAAAUUGUCAUUUUAAUCCCGGGAUCAACAGGGACAGAAGUUUAUAGAUUAGUGCAUAUAAAGACUUUCACUAGUUCUUAUAGCACAAAACCACACAAAAACACAGUGAGUUAUUGAUAGAGGUUGCAAUUGGAUUUCAAAUUUAUUAGAGCAAUGCAUCUGCUAAAGUUCUUUGAACUAUAUUACUGAGCGAUAUCUGUGACCCCUCACUGUCCAUAUAUGAUAGACACGACCCACCCUGUAUUCAGAAAAUGGCUUUGAAACAUCUCGCGUCGAAAAUUAAUUUCAUGGAAUCAAAUUUUGCUCCAGUCAGCGAUAAUUGUACUCUUAUCUGAUGGUGCAGCACAAGUGUCCAAUUGUCUUGAAUAUCGAUGUUAUUAACAAACAAAUAAUUCCUUGAUUAAUAAGCUCUAGGACUUAGGAAACAUUAUAAAGACAGCCUGGACCCCAAUUUCUGCUUGAAUCACUAAUAGCAAGCACUGAACUGAUUCAAUGCAGUCAAAUACUUCAAAUGCUGUAGCUUCUGGAUCACAGGAUGUUCAAGUGAAUAGGCAGCAUAGAAUGGUGAGAACUACAUAUCGUUCUUAAAUUUUUCUUCAUAUGCAAAGAAGAUGAUGAGAUGAUUUAUCCAUACAAUAGAUUAAUAAUGGAA